rnacentral:lncRNA from 1 species
GUCUGCAGGUAUAGGGGUCGUGGGCUGAUGUUUACGGAGCCGCAUCACUUUGUGAGCAUCCACAUUGCAAGAGUCAAUCAGGUCAACAAUUUCCUGAGCCUUUUAUUUUUGGUUAGCUCUCUUUCUCAUUCUGCAAUAUCGUGAGUAGGCGCGCUUGAGGUCUGCAACAGGUAAUCUCUGUUUGAUGAGACAUCGUAUGUCUGCUUUGUAAGCUCUGCAUGUUCCAUCAAACCAUGGCGCCAUGGGGAGGCCAAUUCUUGCUCUGCGUGG